CAGCAGUGGGGAAUUUUGGACAAUGGGCGCAAGCCUGAUCCAGCCAUGCCGCGUGAGUGAAGAAGGCCUUCGGGUUGUAAAGCUCUUUCGGACGGAAAGAAAUCGCGCAGGUGAAUAAUCUGUGUGGAUGACGGUACCGUAAGAAGAAGCACCGGCUAACUACGUGCCAGCAGCCGCGGUAAUACGUAGGGUGCGAGCGUUAAUCGGAAUUACUGGGCGUAAAGCGUGCGCAGGCGGUUUUGUAAGACAGGUGUGAAAUCCCCGGGCUUAACCUGGGAAUGGCGCUUGUGACUGCAAGACUCGAGUGCGGCAGAGGGGGGUGGAAUUCCACGUGUAGCAGUGAAAUGCGUAGAGAUGUGGAGGAACACCGAUGGCGAAGGCAGCCCCCUGGGUCGACACUGACGCUCAUGCACGAAAGCGUGGGGAGCAAACAGGAUUAGAUACCCUGGUAGUCCACGCCCUAAACGAUGCCAACUAGGUGUUGGGGAAGGAGACUUCCUUAGUACCGAAGCUAACGC
rnacentral:rRNA from 1 species